UACGUGUGGUGCAAGCGUUAUCCGGAAUGACUGGGUGUAAAGGGAGCGUAGACGGUUGUUCAAGUCUGAUGUGAAAGCCCUCGGCUUAACUGGGGGAGUGCAUUGGAAACUGAAGGACUAGAGUACCGGAGAGGCAAGUGGAAUUCCUAGUGUAGCGGUGAAAUGCGUAGAUAUUAGGAGGAACACCAGUGGCGAAGGCGGCUUGCUGGACGAAAACUGACGUUGAGGCUCGAAAGCGUGGGGAGCGAACAGG
rnacentral:rRNA from 1 species